CGCCUCUUGUAAUCAUAAGAGGUCCAGCCUGCCCAGUGACUUUAUUCAACGGCCGCGGUAUUCUAACCGUGCAAAGGUAGCGUAAUCACUUGUUUUCUAAAUAAAGACCAGUAUGAAAGGCAUCACGAGGACUUAACUGUCUCCUUUCUCCAAUCAGUGAACCUAAUCUCCCCAUGAAGAAGCGGGGAUCCCCCUAUAAGACGAGAAGACCCCGUGGAGCUUAAAACAUUAUGACAAUUGCCACCAUCUUUAACCACCCCGGUGUCUCCCCCAGCGGCACCCUGAUUUAUAUGUUUUUGGUUGGGGUGACCGCGGAGAAAAACCCAUCCUCCUCGAUGAAAGGGACUUCCUACCCUAAACAACAAGUUACAACUUUAUGUAUCAAAAAAUUGACAUCUUUGACCCAAUUAAUUGAUUAACGAACCAAGUUACCCCGGGGAUAACAGCACAAUCCACUUUGAGAGCCCCUAUCGACAAGUGGGCUUAUGACCUCGAUGUUGGAUCAGGAUAUCCUAGUGGUGCAGCCGCUACUAAAGGUUCGUUUGUUCAACGAUUAAAAUCCC
rnacentral:rRNA from 1 species